rnacentral:rRNA from 1 species
UACGGAGGGGGCUAGCGUUGUUCGGAAUUACUGGGCGUAAAGCGUACGUAGGCGGCUUUGUAAGUUAGAGGUGAAAGCCCGGGGCUCAACUCCGGAAUUGCCUUUAAGACUGCAUCGCUAGAACGUCGGAGAGGUGAGUGGAAUUCCGAGUGUAGAGGUGAAAUUCGUAGAUAUUCGGAAGAACACCAGUGGCGAAGGCGACUCACUGGACGACUGUUGACGCUGAGGUGCGAAAGCGUGGGGAGCAAACAGG